rnacentral:rRNA from 1 species
AACGAACGCUGGCGGCAUGCCUAACACAUGCAAGUCGAACGAUACCUUCUGGUCCAGUGGCGCACGUGUGCGUAACGCGUCGGAACCUUCCCGUAUGGUCGGAAUAACUCCCCGAGAGGGGUGAUAAUACCGGAUAAUUGCUUCUGACCAAUAAUUUAUUUCCUUAUGAUUUGCCCGCUUUGGAUUAGCUAUUUGGUAACGUAAAUGCCUACCAAGGCGAUGAUACAUAGCUGGUCUGAGAGGGUGAUCAGCCACCCUGGGACGGUGACACGGCCCAGACGCCUAGGGGAGGCAGCAGUAGGGAAUCGUCGGGAAUGGAAGAAAGGCUGACCGAGCAACGACGCGUGAGUGAAGAAGGUUUCCGGAUCGUAAAACUCUGUUGGUAGAGAAGAACGUUGGUGAGAGUGGAAAGCGCAUCAAGUGACGGUAACUACCCAGAAAGGGACGGCGAACUACGUG